UGGAUCUCCUUUCUCACCUUUCUGGAAUGAAAAAUCAAUGAAAAGCCAAUUAUAUGUUCACAGAUCAUUUGGAAGAACAGAUCCAGCUGGAUCAACUCAACAUGCUGCCCUGACAGGUUUUGCCACAACAUCUAUGAGCAGCCUGCUCCAGUAUUUGACCACCCUCCAAGCAAAAUGUUUUUCCUGUAUUUCAAGUUCCUGUGCUCCAACUCAUGUGCAUUUCCUCUCAUCCUUCACGUGUGCACAGCUGAGAGAAGCGCUGCUCCAUCUUCUCUGUAUUUCCAUGAUUUUAGGUAACAAGGAGGAAAAUCCCACAUGCUGAUAGUAAAGUAGGUAAGCAGACUCCAGGUGGAGUUACUUUGACUAUGUUUCUGUGAUCCUGCAGUGCCCUGCAGGCAGGAACAAGCCCUGGGUGAUGUCCCAGCCCUGUUCCUGCACCACUGCCAGGAGCAGACAGCUGCACCAAAUGCCAACAGCCUGCUCAGGCCCCCAGAAAUGCAGCUGAAAACUCAUACUGGCCAUACUGGGAAGAUUUCCUUGAAGAGUUACUGCUGCUAUUCAAAUUAAUCUUCUGUGGAGUUUAAUCUUUAAAAAACCCUGUUUUAAAUCUGGAUUAAUACCUAAGACUUGUAUAAAUAGCAAUGCCAGAUGAUUGCAUUAGAAACAAAGUU